rnacentral:rRNA from 1 species
AUUGAACGCUGGCGGCAGGCCUAACACAUGCAAGUCGAACGAGUGGCGGACGGGUGAGUAAUGUCUGGGAAACUGCCCGAUGGAGGGGGAUAACUACUGGAAACGGUAGCUAAUACCGCAUACCAUCGGAUGUGCCCAGAUGGGAUUAGCUAGUAGGUGGGGUAACGGCUCACCUAGGCGACGAUCCCUAGCUGGUCUGAGAGGAUGACCGGCCACACGGGAACUGAGACACGGUCACGACUCCUACGGGAGUAAGGAGGGGGGAAUAUUGCGAAAUGGGCGAAAGCCUGAUGCAGCCAUGCCGCGUGUAUGAAGAGGGCCUUAGGGUUGUAAAGUACUUUCAGCGAGGAGGCGUUACUCGCAGAAGAAGCACCGGCUAACUACGUGCCAGCAGCCGCGGUAAUUC